rnacentral:rRNA from 1 species
UCGAACGAGAAAGUGGAGCAAUCCAUGAGUAAAGUGGCGACCGGGUGAGUAACACGUGACUAACCUGCCUUCGAGUGGGGGAUAACCUCGGGAAACCGGGGCUAAUACCGCAUAAUGCCUACGGGUUAAAGGAGCAAUUCGCUUGAAGAGGGGGUCGCGGCUGAUUAGCUAGUUGGCGGGGUAACGGCCCACCAAGGCGAUGAUCGGUAGCCGGCCUGAGAGGGCGCACGGCCACACUGGAACUGAAACACGAUCCAGACUCCUACGGGAGGCAGCAGUGGGGAAUUUUGCGCAAUGGGGGAAACCCUGACGCAGCAACGCCGCGUGGAGGAUGAAGUCCUUUGGGACGUAAACUCCUUUCGACCGGGACGAUAAUGACGGUACCGGUGGAAGAAGCCCCGGCUAACUUCGUGCCAGCAGCCGCGGUAAUACGAGGGGGGCAAGCGUUGUUCGGAAUUAUUGGGCGUAAAGGGCGCG